CCCUUAGAUGUCCCGGGCCGCACGCGCGCUACACUGACAUGUUCAACAAGUUUCUCCUAGUUCGACAGGACUGGGAAAUCUUUGAACGCAUGUCGUGAUAGGGAUAGAUCAUUGCAAUUAUUGAUCUUGAACGAGGAAUUCCUAGUAAACGCGAGUCAUCAGCUCGCAUUGAUUACGUCCCUGCCCUUUGUACACACCGCCCGUCGCACCUACCGAUUGAAUGUUUCGGUGAAGAUUCCGGAUAGGACUGAUUUGAUUUAUUUCAUUUCUGACCUAAAAGCUAUCUAAACCUCAACAUUUAGAGGAAGGUGAAGUCGUAACA
rnacentral:rRNA from 1 species